rnacentral:rRNA from 1 species
UGGGGAAUAUUGCACAAUGGGGGAAACCCUGAUGCAGCGACGCCGCGUGAAGGAUGAAGUAUUUCGGUAUGUAAACUUCUAUCAGCAGGGAAGAAAGUGACGGUACCUGACUAAGAAGCCCCGGCUAACUACGUGCCAGCAGCCGCGGUAAUACGUAGGGGGCAAGCGUUAUCCGGAUUUACUGGGUGUAAAGGGAGCGUAGACGGGAUAGCAAGUCUGAAGUGAAAGCCCGGGGCUCAACCCCGGGACUGCUUUGGAAACUGUUGACCUGGAGUGCUGGAGAGGCAAGUGGAAUUCCUAGUGUAGCGGUGAAAUGCGUAGAUAUUAGGAGGAACACCAGUGGCGAAGGCGGCUUGCUGGACAGUGACUGACGUUGAGGCUCGAAAGCGUGGGGAGCAAACAGG